AGAUAGCACUAUGGGUCCACGACCACAUGGGCGAUUGUCAAAAGAAGAAGGAUCUUGGUGAAAUACUGCUUGAUAAAAAUUUCAAAUUGACUCACAUGUCUUACAACUGGAAUUUAAACUCGAAAUAAAUAUCCCGCAAAGACUAGCUGAUUCCACGAGCGCUUUUUCCUGCGAAAUGAAUUAGGCCUAUAGCAUGUGCACUGUAAAGAUCAUGAGAAAGAAUUAGCUUUGCAAGAUGUAAAACUCGAUAAUUCAUGACAUGAUCGAAAAGAAAUGAAUCAGUAUUUAAUCAAUAACGGUAAAUCCGUAAACGUUAGCAUCGAUUUUCUCGUCUAAAAGCAACCAUAUUGUCAAAAUACUUAGCGUAAACUUGAUUUCUUAGACGCUUGUUUCUAUUUAAGUAAUUAAGUGAUGUAAACUCAUAUUCGCAGAUAGCUUACGCAUAGUUCUGCGCGCAGGCUAAUCCUGCUUUAUUCAUACGCUUAUAUAUUCCCCAAAAACGGGUGCCCAGGCAUAAAUGUACUAAAUAUACCGGAUGAGAUGUCUGGGGUAAUCUGUUUCCAGUGUAUGUAACCAUUUACAUAUACUGGAAAUAGAUUACCCCAGACUUAUCAUCUGGCAUAAUACCUUCACUAGCUUCUACAUACCAAAACCAAUAUCAGCCGACAAUUUCAAAAAGUAUAAUACAAACUGCACAAUUUCGAUAUGGUACAAGGUAGAAAUAAGGUAGAGUUUCUAGUAAUUGUAGUCGGUCGAAAUAACUAUAUAUGUAUAUCUUGUUAGGUAUGAAAUUUUCAUCAUUGUAUUUUAGCUUGCUAUUCAAUAUAAAAAAUAAACUGAAAUUUAGUUCAUUUAUGCUGGAUAGAUCUAUCAGUUCUAAACUGUUUUCCCUUGAGGACCAUGCCCUAUUUGACAAAUGCACUAACCAAGGGUCAACAACCAAGUGUGCAAAAUAUUUUUGCAUAUUUUGCGAUACAGUUUUCGGUCCAGUUACCACAAUCCUAUUUAGAUCAGAAUUGCAUGCGGG
rnacentral:lncRNA from 1 species